CGGUACAGGAAGCAGCUUGCUGCUUCGCUGACGAGUGGCGGACGGGUGAGUAAUGUCUGGGAAACUGCCUGAUGGAGGGGGAUAACUACUGGAAACGGUAGCUAAUACCGCAUAACGUCGCAAGACCAAAGAGGGGGACCUUCGGGCCUCUUGCCAUCAGAUGUGCCCAGAUGGGAUUAGCUAGUAAGUGGGGUAACGGCUCACCUAAGCGACCAUCCCUAACUGGUCUGAAAAGAUGACCAACCCCACCUGAACUGAAAACCCGUCCCAAACUCUACCGGAAGCAACAGUGGGGAAUAUUGCACAAUGGGGCGCAAGCCUGAUGCAGCCAUGCCGCGUGUAUGAAGAAGGCCUUCGGGUUGUAAAGUACUUUCAGCGGGGAGGAAGGCGAUGCGGUUAAUAACCGCGUCGAUUGACGUUACCCGCAGAAGAAGCACCGGCUAACUCCGUGCCAGCAGCCGCGGUAAUACGGAGGGUGCAAGCGUUAAUCGGAAUUACUGGGCGUAAAGCGCACGCAGGCGGUCUGUCAAGUCGGAUGUGAAAUCCCCGGGCUCAACCUGGGAACUGCAUCCGAAACUGGCAGGCUUGAGUCUCGUAGAGGGGGGGUAGAAUUCCAGGUGUA
rnacentral:rRNA from 1 species